UGUCCGGAUGGCGCAGUGGUUAAUGCAUCUGCCUGACAAGCAGGACAUUCCGGGUUCGAGUCCCGGUCUGGCAG